AACGAACGCUGGCGGCAUGCCUAACACAUGCAAGUCGAACGAUACCUUCGGGUCUAGUGGCGCACGGGUGCGUAACGCGUGGGAACCUGCCCUUAGGUUCGGAACACCUCCCCGAAAGGGGUGCCAAUACCGGUUAAUGUCUUCGGACCAACGAUUUAUCGGCUUUGGUUGGGCCCGCGUUGGAUUAGCUAGUUGGUAGGGUAAAAGCCUUCCAAGGCGUCGAUCCAUAGCUGGUCUGAGAGGAGGAUCAGCCACACUGGGACUGAGACACGGCCCAGACUCCUACGGGGGGCAGCAGUAGGGAAUAUUGGACGAGGGGCGAAAGCCUGAUCCAGCAACGCCGCGUGAGUGAUGAAGGCCUUAGGGUUGUAAAGCUCUUUUACCCGGGAUGAUAAUGACGGUACCGGGAGAAUAAGCUCCGGCUAACUCCGUG
rnacentral:rRNA from 1 species